rnacentral:rRNA from 1 species
AUCGUAAACYUCUGUUGUGAAGGAAGAAUAACUUAAUAGUAAAUGAUCUAUGUUUUGACGUGUACUUUACUCAGAAAGUCACGGCUAACUAUGUGCCAGCAGCCGCGGUAAUACAUAGGUGGCAAGCGUUAUCCGGAUUUAUUGGGCGUAAAGAGUGCACAGGUGGUUUAUCAAGUCAGUUGUKAAAURCCRAGGCUCAACCUUGGCUCGCAAUUGAAACUGAUAGACUAGAAUAUCGGUGGGGGUAGUAGAAUUCCAUGUGUAGUGGUGGAAUACAUAAAUAUAUGGAGGAAUACCAGUGGCGAAGGCGGCUACCUGAACGAUUAUUGACACUUAAGCACGAAAGCGUGGGGAGCAAAUAGGAUUAGAUACCCUAGUAGUCCACGCCGUAAACGAUCUAGACUAGACGUUGGGAUAACCCA